UUAAGCGACUAAGCGUACACGGUGGAUGCCCUGGCAGUCAGAGGCGAUGAAGGACGUGCUAAUCUGCGAUAAGCGUCGGUAAGGUGAUAUGAACCGUUAUAACCGGCGAUUUCCGAAUGGGGAAACCCAGUGUGAUUCGUCACACUAUCAUUAACUGAAUCCAUAGGUUAAUGAGGCGAACCGGGGGAACUGAAACAUCUAAGUACCCCGAGGAAAAGAAAUCAACCGAGAUUCCCCCAGUAGCGGCGAGCGAACGGGGAGCAGCCCAGAGCCUGAAUCAGUGUGUGUGUUAGUGGAAGCGUCUGGAAAGGCGCGCGAUACAGGGUGACAGCCCCGUACACAAAAAUGCACAUACUGUGAGCUCGAUGAGUAGGGCGGGACACGUGGUAUCCUGUCUGAAUAUGGGGGGACCAUCCUCCAAGGCUAAAUACUCCUGACUGACCGAUAGUGAACCAGUACCGUGAGGGAAAGGCGAAAAGAACCCCGGCGAGGGGAGUGAAAAAGAACCUGAAACCGUGUACGUACAAGCAGUGGGAGCACGCUUAGGCGUGUGACUGCGUACCUUUUGUAUAAUGGGUCAGCGACUUAUAUUCUGUAGCAAGGUUAACCGAAUAGGGGAGCCGAAGGGAAACCGAGUCUUAACUGGGCGUUAAGUUGCAGGGUAUAGACCCGAAACCCGGUGAUCUAGCCAUGGGCAGGUUGAAGGUUGGGUAACACUAACUGGAGGACCGAACCGACUAAUGUUGGAAAAUUAGCGGAUGACUUGUGGCUGGGGGUGAAAGGCCAAUCAAACCGGGAGAUAGCUGGUUCUCCCCGAAAGCUAUUUAGGUAGCGCCUCGUGAAUUCAUCUCCGGGGGUAGAGCACUGUUUCGGCAAGGGGGUCAUCCCGACUUACCAACCCGAUGCAAACUGCGAAUACCGGAGAAUGUUAUCACGGGAGACACACGGCGGGUGCUAACGUCCGUCGUGAAGAGGGAAACAACCCAGACCGCCAGCUAAGGUCCCAAAGUCAUGGUUAAGUGGGAAACGAUGUGGGAAGGCCCAGACAGCCAGGAUGUUGGCUUAGAAGCAGCCAUCAUUUAAAGAAAGCGUAAUAGCUCACUGGUCGAGUCGGCCUGCGCGGAAGAUGUAACGGGGCUAAACCAUGCACCGAAGCUGCGGCAGCGACACUGUGUGUUGUUGGGUAGGGGAGCGUUCUGUAAGCCUGCGAAGGUGUGCUGUGAGGCAUGCUGGAGGUAUCAGAAGUGCGAAUGCUGACAUAAGUAACGAUAAAGCGGGUGAAAAGCCCGCUCGCCGGAAGACCAAGGGUUCCUGUCCAACGUUAAUCGGGGCAGGGUGAGUCGACCCCUAAGGCGAGGCCGAAAGGCGUAGUCGAUGGGAAACAGGUUAAUAUUCCUGUACUUGGUGUUACUGCGAAGGGGGGACGGAGAAGGCUAUGUUGGCCGGGCGACGGUUGUCCCGGUUUAAGCGUGUAGGCUGGUUUUCCAGGCAAAUCCGGAAAAUCAAGGCUGAGGCGUGAUGACGAGGCACUACGGUGCUGAAGCAACAAAUGCCCUGCUUCCAGGAAAAGCCUCUAAGCAUCAGGUAACAUCAAAUCGUACCCCAAACCGACACAGGUGGUCAGGUAGAGAAUACCAAGGCGCUUGAGAGAACUCGGGUGAAGGAACUAGGCAAAAUGGUGCCGUAACUUCGGGAGAAGGCACGCUGAUAUGUAGGUGAAGUCCCUCGCGGAUGGAGCUGAAAUCAGUCGAAGAUACCAGCUGGCUGCAACUGUUUAUUAAAAACACAGCACUGUGCAAACACGAAAGUGGACGUAUACGGUGUGACGCCUGCCCGGUGCCGGAAGGUUAAUUGAUGGGGUCAGCGCAAGCGAAGCUCUUGAUCGAAGCCCCGGUAAACGGCGGCCGUAACUAUAACGGUCCUAAGGUAGCGAAAUUCCUUGUCGGGUAAGUUCCGACCUGCACGAAUGGCGUAAUGAUGGCCAGGCUGUCUCCACCCGAGACUCAGUGAAAUUGAACUCGCUGUGAAGAUGCAGUGUACCCGCGGCAAGACGGAAAGACCCCGUGAACCUUUACUAUAGCUUGACACUGAACAUUGAGCC
rnacentral:rRNA from 1 species